rnacentral:rRNA from 1 species
AGAGUUUGAUUCUGGCUCAGAACGAACGCUGGCGGCGUGGAUAAGACAUGCAAGUCGAACGGUUGGCAAGUGGUAGCAAUACGACUUGUCGAUAGUGGCGAAAGGGUGCGUAACACGUGGGCAAUUUACCGCGAAGUCCGGAAUAACCUGCCGAAAGGUAGGCUAAUACCGGAUGUGGUCCUCCAGGGGAAUCCUUGGUCGACUAAAGGUGGGGAUCUUCGGACCUGCCGCUUCAUGAUAAGCCCGCGGCCUAUCAGCUUGUUGGUGAGGUAAAAGCUCACCAAGGCUAAGACGGGUAACUGGUCUGAGAGGACGGUCGGUCACACUGGAACUGAGACACGGUCCAGACACCUACGGGUGGCAGCAGUCGAGAAUCAUUCACAAUGGGCGAAAGCCUGAUGGUGCGACGCCGCGUGGGGGAUGAAGUGCUUCGGUAUGUAAACCCCUGUCAUCUGCGAGCAAACCUUUUCGGUUAACACCUGGAAAGCUGAUAGUAGCAGAAGAGGAAGGGACGGCUAACUCUGUGCCAGCAGCCGCGGUAAUACAGAGGUCCCAAGCGUUGUUCGGAUUCACUGGGCGUAAAGGGUGCGUAGGCGGCAUGGCAAGUUUGGUGUGAAAGCUCCGAGCUCAACUCGGAAAUUGCACUGAAAACUGCCAAGCUCGAGGAUUCGGAGGGGAGACUGGAAUUCUUGGUGUAGCAGUGAAAUGCGUAGAUAUCAAGAGGAACACCAAUGGCGAAGGCAAGUCUCUGGACGACACCUGACACUGAGGCACGAAAGCUAGGGGAGCAAACAGGAUUAGAUACCCUGGUAGUCCUAGCCGUAAACGGUGCACACUUGCUAUAAGAGGAAUCGACCCCUUUUGUGGCGAAGCUAACGCGUUAAGUGUGCCGCCUGGGAAGUACGGUCGCAAGAUUAAAACUCAAAGAAAUUGAGGGGGGCCUCCACAAGCGGUGGAGUAUGUGGUUUAAUUCGAUGCAACGCGGAGAACCUUACCUAGUCUUGACAUGCAAGUGGUAGAAGCCCGAAAGGGUAACGACCCCGCAAGGGGAGCUUGCACAGGUGCUGCAUGGCUGUCGUCAGCUCGUGUCGUGAGAUGUUGGGUUAAGUCCCGCAACGAGCGCAACCCUUAUGUCCUGUUGCCACUUCCGCUAGCGCGGAAAGCACUCUGGACAGACUGCCUCAUCUAAAUGAGGAGGAAGGUGGGGAUGACGUCAAGUCAGUAUGGCCCUUACGCCCAGGGCUGCACACGUACUACAAUGCCAAGUACAGAGGGACGCCAAGCCGCGAGGUGGAGCAAAUCCCAUAAAACUUGGCUCAGUUCAGAUUGUAGUCUGCAACUCGACUACAUGAAGCUGGAAUCGCUAGUAAUGGCGCAUCAGCUACGGCGCCGUGAAUACGUUCCCAGGCCUUGUACACACCGCCCGUCACAUCAUGAAAGCCGGUUGUACCCGAAGUCGCUGAGCCAACCCCGCGCAAGCGGGGGGGUAGGUGCCGAAGGUAUGGCUGGUGAUUGGGAUGAAGUCGUAACAAGGUAGCCGUA